UGCAGUGAGGCGGAAAGGCUCUCGCCGGGGCACAGAAAGAUCCCCAGGGCCACAAGGCGUGCUGUCGCCUGCAAAGGCACUGACCCACGAGCCCACUGCCUCCCUCCUUCCUGGGUGGAGCAGGGGCCUGCCUUCAUCUCCAAGGCCCGGGGGCUCCGGCAUCUCGACGCGGCUUCCGGCGACACGGGCAAAGAGAGACAGAGGCUAGUCCGAGCCGGAGCCAGUGUGACCACACGUGGCACUGACGUCCCCCAAGAGCACAUGCAGUGA
rnacentral:lncRNA from 10 species